rnacentral:rRNA from 1 species
GCCGUAGCGAAAGCGAGUUUUAACUGAGCGUUCAGUUACUUGACGUAGACCCGAAACCGGGCGACCUACCCAUGAGCAGGAUGAAGCGAAAGUAAAAUUUCGUGGAGGUCCGAACCCACGAGCGUUGAAAAGCUCGGGGAUGACUUGUGGGUAGCGGUGAAAUUCCAAUCGAGCCCGGAGAUAGCUGGUUCUCCCCGAAAUAGCUUUAGGGCUAGCCUCAAGGUGAGAGAUACGGAGGUAGAGCACUGAAUGUCCUAGGGGGUAUUGCACCUACCGAAGACUAUCAAACGCCGAAUGCCGUCAUCUUAUACUUGGGAGUCAGACUGUGGGUGAUAAGAUUCAUAGUCGAAAGGGCAACAGCCCAGAUCGUCAGCUAAGGUCCCUAAAUGUAAGUUAAGUGGUAAAGGAUGUGGGAUU